UACGGAGGGGCUAGCGUUGCUCGGAAUCACUGGGCGUAAAGGGCGCGUAGGCGGCGUUUUAAGUCGGGGUGAAAGCCUGUGGCUCAACCACAGAAUGGCCUUCGAUACUGGGACGCUUGAGUAUGGUAGAGGUUGGUGGAACUGCGAGUGUAGAGGUGAAAUUCGUAGAUAUUCGCAAGAACACCGGUGGCGAAGGCGGCCAACUGGACCAUUACUGACGCUGAGGCGCGAAAGCGUGGGAGCAAACAG
rnacentral:rRNA from 1 species